CCUACGGGCGACAGCAGUGAGGAAUAUUGGUCAAUGGGUGCGAGCCUGAACCAGCCAAGUCGCGUGAGGGAGGACGGCCCUCCGGGUUGUAAACCUCUUUUGCCGGGGAGCAACGGGCGUCACGUGUGGCGCCACUGAGAGUACCCGGAGAAAAAGCAUCGGCUAACUCCGUGCCAGCAGCCGCGGUAAUACGGGGGAUGCGAGCGUUAUCCGGCGUUAUUGGGUUUAAGGGGUGCGUAGGCGGAUCGUUAAGUCAGUGGUCAAAUUGAGGGGCUCAACCCCUUCCCGCCAUUGAAACUGGCGUUCUUGAGUGGAAGAGAAGUAUGCGGAAUGCGUGGUGUAGCGGUGAAAUGCAUAGAUAUCACGCAGAACCCCGAUUGCGAAGGCAGCAUGCCGGCUUCCGACUGACGCGGAAGCACGAAAGCGUGGGGAUCGAACAGGAUUAGAUACCCUAGUAGUC
rnacentral:rRNA from 1 species